rnacentral:rRNA from 1 species
AGCGAACGCUGGCGGCAGGCCUAACACAUGCAAGUCGAACGAACCCUUCGGGGUUAGUGGCGGACGGGUGAGUAACACGUGGGAACGUGCCUUUAGGUUCGGAAUAACUCAGGGAAACUUGUGCUAAUACCGAAUGUGCCCUUCGGGGGAAAGAUUUAUCGCCUUUAGAGCGGCCCGCUUGUGAUUAGCUAGUUGGUGAGGUAAUGGCUCACCAAGGCUACGAUCAGUGGCUGGUCUGAGAGGAUGACCAGCCACAUUGGGACUGAGACACGGCCCAAACUCCUACGGGAGGCAGCAGUGGGGAAUCUUGCGCAAUGGGCGAAAGCCUGACGCAGCCAUGCCGCGUGGAUGAUGAAGGUCUUAGGAUUGUAAAAUCCUUUCACCGGUGAAGAUAAUGACUGUAGCCGGAGAAGAAGCCCCGGCUAACUUCGUGCCAGCAGCCGCCGUAACAC